UAAUAAGUGUUUUAUGGCACUUUUUAAAUCCAUAUCCACCUUGUGUGCAAUGUCAGUCGAUCUUCUUCAUGGAGAUCGACCAAACAUCAACCUUUAUUUUUUAACUCUUUGUCUGAAGAAUAUUAUGAAUAAACAAUUCAAAAUA
rnacentral:misc_RNA from 1 species